UUCUUACUGCACAAUCUCUAGGAGUAUGUGAAAGAAAUAUGGCAGCAGAUUAAUUGGACUACAAAUUUUGAAACUUCUACAGCUAGCUUACAUACUCGUCUGGAAUUCUGCUUCCCACCAGCCUUGUCUUUGGUUGACUUGAUUGUGGUUUGCAUAAAACUCUAGCUGUUUGUGAGCAAGCCCCUUCCACAUGCACACAAAUUCAGAAUCAUAAUUUAGGCUAUCAACUCACUCAUCCAAGGGGAAAGAGAGGAAAACGCUUACGCCAUGAGCUCAUCAAUGGCUUCAGACUGGCUUCUGGGUUGGGUGGCAGUCUUUGGAAUCCAUGGUGAUCAUGAUGUUGGUUCCAGUCCUGCGGCCUUUAGCAAAACUGUCACCUACGGUCCAUCCACCUUCCCCAAGUCUCAGAUUGUUUGACGGAUUUCAUACCACCAAUAUCACAAGAUGCUGAACCUUCCAACGCCAAGCCCGCCGAAAAGGAGCCAGGCGUGAACACUCUCAGGCUGG
rnacentral:lncRNA from 1 species